CGAUUAUCCAGAGAAGUUGAGGGACUUGGCCCUAUGACACUUCAGCAACCUCUACCUACGUAGAAAGGUGCUAAUUCCAGACAGAUAAGAG
rnacentral:ncRNA from 1 species